CCAAGUGAUGGGGGCCCUGUGCAGGAAUCACGGUAAUCCCGAGGCCUCUGUUAUAACCAGAAGGUCAGAAGAAAUGAUGCUUUCUGUCCUCAAAAGCCUCCAAGUCCUUAACAUUGAGGCGCCCUUCCCACGGCAAUGCACGCUGUACUAAACUACCAUCGACACUCCUGAGGAUGAGCCCAACUCUGGAUGAGCAUCCCUCUGGACACUGCUUCCACCAGCUCAACGCAGUCGGGACUGGGAUCCUUGGGUCCAUGAGAGCAAGUGGAAAAAUCCAUCAGAUCAAGUGAUGGCUUGAAUCAGACGUUAAGAGGGCACCGUCUUCCCCCAAAGUACUUUAAUCAGCAUCAUCUCCCUGGCUGCCCACGAGGCCAGCUCUGUUUGCCCACUGCAGACCAGGUAACACCGUUCCCCGCUACUUCACUUGUCUGCUUUGAUCCCACAGAGCACAACCCCUCUUCUACGUGUUUGCACUGUGUUACCUCACUAGAUCUACCUCCAUAAAAUCUUUGGUGUUCCCACAUUGUUGCUGGUCCCCUCAGAGAUUUACUGCCAUUAAACCCCAGGCAUA